rnacentral:rRNA from 1 species
GAUGAACGCUGGCGGCGUGCUUAACACAUGCAAGUCGAACGGAAAGGCCCAAGCUUGCUUGGGUACUCGAGUGGCGAACGGGUGAGUAACACGUGGGUGAUCUGCCCUGCACUUCGGGAUAAGCCUGGGAAACUGGGUCUAAUACCGGAUAGGACCACAUUUUGGAUGGUGUGGUGGAAAGUUUUUCGGUGUGGGAUGAGCUCGCGGCCUAUCAGCUUGUUGGUGGGGUAAUGGCCUACCAAGGCGUCGACGGGUAGCCGGCCUGAGAGGGUGUACGGCCACAUUGGGACUGAGAUACGGCCCAGACUCCUACGGGAGACAGCAGUGGGGAAUAUUGCACAAUGGGCGCAAGCCUGAUGCAGCGACGCCGCGUGGGGGAUGACGGCCUUCGGGUUGUAAACUCCUUUCGCUAGGGGCGAAGCGCUAUGUGACGGUACCUGGAGAAGAAGCACCGGCUAACUACGUG